AUUGAACGCUGGCGGAAUGCUUUACACAUGCAAGUCGAACGGCAGCACGGGGGCAGCCCUGGUGGCGAGUGGCGCACGGGUGAGUAAUACAUCGGAACGUGCCCGGUCGUGGGGGAUAACGUAGCGAAAGUUACGCUAAUACCGCAUACGAUCUGAGGAUGAAAGCGGGGGACCUUCGGGCCUCGCGCGAUCGGAGCGGCCGAUGUCAGAUUAGGUAGUUGGUGGGGUAAAGGCCUACCAAGCCGACGAUCUGUAGCUGGUCUGAGAGGACGACCAGCCACACUGGGACUGAGACACGGCCCAGACUCCUACGGGAGGCAGCAGUGGGGAAUGUUGGACAAUGGGCGCAAGCCUGAUCCAGCCAUUCCGCGUGCAGGACGAAGGCCUUCGGGUUGUAAACUGCUUUUGUACGGAACGAAAAGGCUCUGGCUAAUACCUGGGGCUCAUGACGGUACCGGAAGAAUAAGCACCGGCUAACUACGUG
rnacentral:rRNA from 1 species